CCGCGCUGCUAGGGGUCCCGCACACCAUUGUUUGAUGGUCUGCAGGUGAGAUUCACCCUUCGAACCUGAUCUGGAUCAUGCCAGCGUAGGGAAGCGCAAAGUACUACGU
rnacentral:ncRNA from 2 species